AUUGAACGCUGGCGGCAGGCCUAACACAUGCAAGUCGAACGAGUGGCGGACGGGUGAGUAAUGUCUGGGAAACUGCCUGAUGGAGGGGGAUAACUACUGGAAACGGUAGCUAAUACCGCAUACCAUCGGAUGUGCCCAGAUGGGAUUAGCUAGUAGGUGGGGUAAAGGCUCACCUAGGCGACGAUCCCUAGCUGGUCUGAGAGGAUGACCAGCAACACUAGAACAGAGACACGGUCCAGAUUCCUACGUGAGGCAGCAGUGGGGAAUAUUGGAGAAUGGGCGCAAGCCUGAUACAGCCAUGCCGCGUGUAUGAAGAGGGCCUUCGGGUUGUAAAGUACUUUCAGCGGGGAGGCGUUACCCGCAGAAGAAGCACCGGCUAACUCCGUGCCAGCAGCCGCGGUAAUAC
rnacentral:rRNA from 1 species